GGGUAGGUUGCAGAGCGGUCAAAUGCAUCAGACUGUAAAUCUGACGCCUUCGGGCUUCGGGGGUUCGAAUCCCUCCCUACCCACUA
rnacentral:tRNA from 1 species